rnacentral:rRNA from 1 species
GACGAACGCUGGCGGCGUGCUUAACACAUGCAAGUCGAACGGAAAGGCCCUGCUUUUGUGGGGUGCUCGAGUGGCGAACGGGUGAGUAACACUUGAGUAGCCUGCCCUUGACUUUGGGAUAACUUCAGGAAACUGGGGCUAAUACCGGAUAGGAGCUCCUGCUGCAUGGUGGGGGUUGGAAAGUUUCGGCGGUUGGUGAUGGACUCGCGGCUUAUCAGCUUGUUGGUGGGGUAGUGGCUUACCAAGGCUUUGACGGGUAGCCGGCCUGAGAGGGUGACCGGCCCCAUUGGGACUGAGAUACGGCCCAGACUCCUACGGGAGGCAGCAGUGGGGAAUAUUGCACAAUGGGCGGAAGCCUGAUGCAGCAACGCAGCGUGCGGGAUGACGGCCUUCGGGUUGUAAACCGCUUUCGCCUGUGACGAAGCGUGAGUGACGGUAAUGGGUAAAGAAGCACCGGCUAACUACGUG